GGAUGUGAGGGCGAUCUGGCUGCGACAUCUGUCACCCCAUUGAUCGCCAGGGUUGAUUCGGCUGAUCUGGCUGGCUAGGCGGGUGUCCCCUUCCUCCCUCACCGCUCCAUGUGCGUCCCUCCCGAAGCUGCGCGCUCGGUCGAAGAGGACGACCUUCCCCGAUAGAGGAGGACCGUUCUUCGGUCAAGGGUAUACGAGUAGCUGAGCUCCCCUGCUAGAACCUCCAAACAAGCUCUCAAGGUCCAUUUGUAGGAGAACGUAGGGUAGUCAAGCUUCCAAGACUCCAGACACAUCCAAAUGAGGCGCUGCACGUGGCCAGCUUCCA
rnacentral:snRNA from 1 species